GUAUAUUUUGGAGAUUUAAGCAACAAUUUUUCUCAAACUUGGUGUACAAAGAAUGAAAUAACUGAUAAGUCUCUAACUUCUGAAAUUACCCAUAGUUCUCUAACCUCUUAAACUGUAACUCCUCACAUAACAAAAUGAGAAAUAAAGACAUACAUCUAUGAAUGACUAGAUUGUACUAAUUGGUUAUAUAACCUAUAUCACAUUAAUAACAGAGGAAAUGGACUUUCAC
rnacentral:lncRNA from 1 species